AUGGAGCUGCCCUUGCCGCUGCUCUGGCAGUCGGAGGCCUACAAGCGUGAGAGGCUGCCGCAGGCCAUGCCGCAGUGCCCAGUCCUCAAGGCCGACGAGGUUGGUGUCCUCUACCUCUUGCUGGGAGAUUACUACCUCGAUUGGGAGAGAAGGGCUCGGCUAUGCAGGGAGAUUGAGUGUGUGAUCAGCAUCAACAUGCGCACAAAAUCUCUCCUGUCCUGCAGCCAUCGUCCGAUCAAAGAUGGCUUCUCACCCAAGUGGCGAGACAAAGACCAGCCUUCCAAAGGUUUCCGUCCCGUCAUGCCUUCCCUGUUUGCCGCCAAGUUCUGCCCGAGCCACACUGGAUGGUCUGAUGAUCUUCUGCCCAAGAAAAAAAAGAAUCAUCUAACAGAUGGUAAUUUGAAUCUGAAUCUAGUACUACCACUCCUCCUACUCCUACUUGAUGUUAUCUGCGCACAUUCUGCUUGA
rnacentral:rRNA from 1 species